rnacentral:rRNA from 1 species
GAUGAACGCUGGCGGCGUGCCUAACACAUGCAAGUCGAGCGAACAGACGAGGAGCUUUCUCCGCUGACGUUAGCGGCGGACGGGUGAGUAACACGUGGAUAACCUACCUAUAAGACUUGGAUAACUUCGGGAAACCGGAGCUAAUACCGGGCAAUAUAUUGAACCUGAUGGUUCUAAAGAGAAAGACGCUUUUGCUGUCACUCAUAGUUAGAACCGCGCCGCAUUGGCAAGUUGGUAAGGUAACGGCUUACCAAGGCAACGAUGCGUAGACGACCUGAAAGAGUGAUCGGCCACACUGGAACUGAGACACGGUCCAGACUCCUACGGGAGGCAGCAGUAGGGAAUAUUCCGCAAUGGGCGAAAGCCUGAACGAGCCACGCCGCGUGAGUGAAGAAGGUCUUCGGAUCGUAAAACACUGUAAAUUGGGAAGAAGAAAUGUUAAUGUAGCCAUGCACGUCUUGACGGUACCUACUCAGAAAGCCCCGGCUAACUUCGUG